rnacentral:lncRNA from 1 species
CUACACAAGAGUCUGGUCUGGAUACUGUGAGUACCACGCGCUAGCUUUACUGACCCUGGACUAGACAAGAGUCUGGUCUGGAUAUUGUGAGUACCACACGCUAGGUUUACUGAUCCGGAACUACACAAGAGUCUGGUCUGGAUACUGUGAGUACCACACGCUAGCUUUACUGAUCCUGGACUAGACAAGAGUGUGGUCUGGAUACUGUGAGUACCACGCGCACUAGCUUUACUGAUCCUGGACUAGACAAGAGUCUGGUCUGGAUACUGUGAGUACCACACGCUAGCUUUACUGAUCCGGAACUACACAAGAGUCUGGUCUGGAUACUGUGAGUACCACGCGCUAGCUUUACUGAUCCUGGACUAGACAAGAGUCUGGUCUGGAUACUGUGAGUACCACGCGCUAGCUUUACUGAUCCUGGACUAGACAAGAGUCUGGUCUGGAUACUGUGAGUACCACACGCUAGCUUUACUGACCCUGGACUAGACUAGAGUCUGGUCUGGAUACUGUGAGUACCACACGCUAGUAAUUACACUAGCUUUACUGAUCCGGAACUACACAAGAGUCUGGUCUGGAUACUGUGAGUACCACGCGCUAGCUUUACUGAUCCUGGACUAGACUAGAGUCUGGUCUGGAUACUGUGAGUACCACGAGCUAGGUUUACUGACCCUGGACUAGACAAGAGUCUGGUCUGGAUACUGUGAGUACCACACGCUAGCUUUACUGACCCUGGACUAGACUAGAGUCUGGUCUGGAUACUGUGAGUACCACGAGCUAGGUUUACUGAUCCUGGACUAGACAAGAGUCUGGUCUGGAUAAUGUGAGUACCACACGCUAGGUUUACUGAUCCGGAACUACACAAGAGUCUGGUCUGGAUACUGUGAGUACCACGCACUAGCUUUACUGACCCUGGACUAGACUAGAGUCUGGUCUGGAUACUGUGAGUACCACACACUAGUAAUUACACUAGCUUUACUGACCCUGGACUACACAAGAGUCUGGUCUGGAUACUGUGAGUACCACACACUAGCUUUACUGACCCUGGACUAGACAAGAGUCUGGUCUGGAUACUGUGAGUACCACACACUAGUAAUUACACUAGCUUUACUGAUCCUGGACUAGACAAGAGUCUGGUCUGGAUACUGUGAGUACCACACGCUAGUUUUACUGACCCUGGACUAGACAAGAGUCUGGUCUGGAUACUGUGAGUACCACACACUUGUUUUACUGACCCUGGACUAGACGAGUCUGGUCUGGAUACUGUGAGUACCACACACUUGUUUUACUGACCCUGGACUAGACGAG